UACGAAGGGGGCUAGCGUUGCUCGGAAUUACUGGGCGUAAAGCGUGCGUAGGUGGUUUGUUAAGUCUGAUGUGAAAGCCCUGGGCUCAACCUGGGAAUUGCAUUGGAUACUGGCAGGCUAGAGUGCGGUAGAGGAUGGCGGAAUUCCCGGUGUAGCAGUGAAAUGCGUAGAUAUCAGGAGGACACCAGCGGUGUAGACGGCUUUCUGGACCAUUGCUGACGCUGAGACACGAAAGCGUGGGUAGCAAACAGG
rnacentral:rRNA from 1 species